rnacentral:rRNA from 1 species
UACGAAGGGGGCGAGCGUUGUUCGGAAUUACUGGGCGUAAAGGGCGCGUAGGCGGCGACUCAAGUUAGAUGUGAAAGUCCAGGGCUCAACCCUGGAAAGCGGGUGGAUACUGCCGGGCUAGAAUCCGGAAGAGGCGAGUGGAAUUCCUGGUGUAGCGGUGGAAUGCGCAGAUAUCAGGAGGAACACCAAUAGCGAAGGCAGCUCGCUGGGACGGUAUUGACGCUAAGGCGCGAAAGCGUGGGGAGCAAACAGG